GUAUGAGACAUUAAUUGAAAAGACUUUGUGCCCCUUUUAUACUUGGCAGGGCUUGGGCCUUUUGUCACCAGCUUUACUGAGUCCUUGACAAGCAGAAUCCUAUUGCACACCUUGACAUAGUAUUAGUGACACACAUGACACAACCCACAUAUCUCAUAUUGCGAUUUGGAAAACAACUCUCACUCCCUUCUUACUUGAGUGAGAAAAUCUAGCUUGAGCAAGCUUUUUAUAUAUUGAACCAAGCAAUUGGCUUGAGAUUUUUAUUUCACUAGAGCAACAAUCAGGUAUGAGAUUUCACAUGUAUCAUUCAUUCGAGUGAGAACUUCGACCUCAACUUUUUAUAUUUUUCAAAAUUUAUUCUCUAUUCUUAUACUAUCAAACUAAGAUACUUGCUUCUUACGUAGCCCAUCAGACUUGAUAGGUUACUGUGCAAUUCCCACACCUUGACUCUCUCUCAUCAUCAACGCCACAACUCCUUCCUCUUCAAUGCUCCUCAAUUUCAUAUCUACCUACCAACAACCCAUAUAUCUGCUUCAAAUCUGUCACUCUGCCCUGUUCCUUUAUUUGCACAAACCCCUAACAGACCCAUAGUGAUUCGAAGAGGCUGUGAGACUGAAAGAAAGACAAAGAUGAUGCCGCCACUGUGAGGGAGAUGAGCCAUGUGUCGGGCUGAAAUUCGUGCUUGUGUGUGAGCAAUCCGUACGAAGGAUUAAAGGUAAAUGAACUGAAAAAGCAAAUAAACUGUAUGCUAAUUUGAAAAUUAUUAAAGAGCUAGUGCUUGCAGUCUUGUGUUGUGUAACUAAGCUCCCACUCCAUUUUGUAAGAAUCCUUGUUUCACACGGUUGUGGACCUAUCAUACUUAAGAAUUACUUCUGCAGCAGCUAUUGAGGUUCAAGCAGUUAUGGAAAUGGUGUUGAGUCUUCCAGGGUGCAAUCGGGUCAUCGCCUCCAUAUGUUUAGCUCCUUAUUUUUCAUGGAAAAUCAAAGUGCGAUGAACAUGUUUAUAGCAAAUAAGCAUGAUAAAAUGUUCCAGUUGCUUUGGCUAGAAAAACAGUACGAUAAAAGGCCUAAUCUUUGGUGAAUUGUGGUUGUAUUGAAGGGGUUAAUUUUUUAGGAGCGUAUGUGUUAUGUAAUUGGAGUAUUUGUGCUUUAUUAGUAUUCUUAAAAACAUGUUGUGGGGUUAAGAAUUUAUGUUUUAUUUAAUUAUGGAAUAGGUUAAGAACUUAUGUUUUAAUAUUAUUUAUGUUGGAUGUUUUAUGUGAAUAGCUUGUGAAUGUAAUAAAGUGUUUCCAGCCAAGAUAUUUUUUUGCCCACUUUAUUUAUAAUUCCCCUAUUGGGUCUCUCUCUAUUCUUCUCUGUAUCUUUAAGGGUGUAUUAGUAUUUUACUACUUUAUCUAUAUGUUUCACUUCACUACAUCCGUUAGCUGCAUAUAACCUAUUUGACCCUUAUCGUAUUCCACUUCCUUCCCCCAUUUCUCAACUUUCUUUCUUGGGUUUUCUUAGAUCAAGGAGUCUCAAACUCACAGAUCCACUUUUGUUCUCUUUUGUUCAGGGAAAUGGAUUUUAAAAUAAGUGAUGAGCUUGUGCACACAACAUAUUUAGCUGGGUAUGCAAGUGUCAUAACUUACAUGGAGACGUAUAUGAACAAAGUAUCGAUGCAUACAAAUGUAGAAACAGGGUAUGAAUGGGCACAAUAUAUUUUACAUGGGAAUGAGCGGAAAUGUCGCAAUGUAUUUAGAGUACCAUGCCAUGUUUUUGGAGAAUUGUGUAAUACAUUGAGCACUCAAUAUGGAUAUAAGGGUAGCAAAAGAGUUGAAGAGUCUAUGGCAAUUAUAUUGGUGGUACUUGGUCAUGGCAUGUGUAAUAAAAUGUUUCAAGAUAGAUUUCA